GACGAUUUUGUGCAGCUCGAUAGCAUUGUCUAGCCUCCGGCGUAUGCGUCAAGAGUUAUGCUGCUGUCUCUGGCGGUUUUGCUGUCUUGCUCGCGUAAACGCGGCAGCUGCAGCUAUUUGGAUAUUGCUGAGUAAUAUGCUUACAGCAUCAUCGAUGUCAGUGGCCACGUUAAUCUGUGUUGCCAGGUGAAUGGAGUUUUCGAGAGACGACUGAAAGCAUCUGACAUCAGCGCCUCUGGCCAGCAGCCUGGAAUUUACUCGGCAACAGCGCAAAUUUGCAUUUACAUUGUCACAGAGUUCAAUCUUAAGCGGCAAAUGGUCAGAGCUCAGUUCAGUGCUGGAUGAAAUGUUUAUGACGUUGCCAUCAAUGCCACUGGUGAUGGCAAAGUCAAUGGCCGACGGACGCUUCCUGCGAUCAUGCGGGUAGUGAGUGGCACCACCGGUGGCCAGGACAUUGUACCUGCGGCUUGCAUGGAUAGCCUCGCACAAUGCCCUACCCCUCUGGCACGCACGUGGAUUUCCCUACCAUGAAUGAUUAGCAUUCCAGUUACCGCAUAAGAGGAAGCGGGCCGCUGUAUCGCCAGCUUUUAGCAAAAUGGGUGCGCAUUGGAUCAAAUCUUCAUUAAUUGGCUGCAGUGCCGAAUGACUGAUGCCAGAACGUACCAUGAGGGCAGCACCUCCUUUGCGGUGUGUGUUCGGAUUGACGGCAAAGUAUCUGGCAAAUCCCGGCAAUUCGAACACACUGUCGUUGAUUGGCGCUCGUGUUUCUGCAUUCCAGAAGGCGAUCUUGAGGGUGUCAUGGCUAUCUGGAUCUGGCAGCACUCUUGGAAUUGAGCCUGGGCCAGAGUCCAGAUUUGGAUAAGCUGCAGCAUCACCUAUGCGAUUAGGCAUUAUAAAUCUGUUCAUUUGCUGAUGCGCACUCGACGUCUAUACUAAAGUCUAGGUCUAACAUAUAGUUAUUUAACUGGGAAGAACCCCUACAAAAGGUCAUAAGCUUACACUUAUUGCAGUUGAGAUGUAACAUAUUUACUCUGUACCAAGAUUCUGGACAAUUAAGGUCACAUUGUAACAGUGAGCUCGCAAGACUAUCAUUAAAUGUCAGGCAAAGCUUUACGUCAUUGGCGUACAUAAGUACACGGGAAUGCUCAAUAACAGAAGGAAGAUCAUUUAUGAACAAAGUGAACAAUAGAGGACCCAAAUGACUGCCCUGGGGCACACCAGAAGUGACUUGGACACAUUUAGAUACAAAACUAAUAUAAUAAACAUUCUGAAUUCUGUUGGAAAGGUAUGAGGAUAUCCACUCAAUUAGGCUAAGAGGAAACCCUAAAGCAUUAAACGUAUACAGUAAAAGGUGAUGAUUAACAGAGUCAAAAGCCUUACUAAAAUCGGUGUAAAUGACAUCCGUUUGCAUUUUAUUCUCGAAUCCUUUAAUUACAAUAGAAGUGAACUCCAAUAAGUUAGUAGAAGUGGAUCUAGACUUCACAAACCCAUGUUGGUAAGGUGAAAUUAUAGAUUUACACAGAUGUUGCAGUUGAGAAGUUAUAAUUUUUUCAAAUGCUUUCGGAAUCGCAGACAAUUUAGAUAUACCGCGAUAAUUUUGAACUUUAGAUUUGCUCGCUUGUUUUAGGAUAGGUAUAAUGUAUGAUUUUUUCCAGAUUUUAGGAAAAGAACAUGAGUUAACGGAUAAUUCAAACAAUAUAAAAAGCGGUUUACAGAUACUACCAGCACAAUACCUUAGCACACAACUAAGUACUCCAUCCGGACCAGCCGAAAAAACAGGUUUUAUAGCCAAUAGUUCCGUUAAAAUAGAGCUUUCAGUAAUUAAAGGACCAAAAAUACAAUUAGAUGAAUUUAACUGAUAAGGAUAAGAAAAGGAAUUUUGAGAACUUGGGACAGAAUAUAUCGUUUGGAAAAAGUCCGCAAAUAAAUCGGCAACAUCAUGACCAUUAGAUACUGUCAUAUUCUCCAAAGACAUAAAUGCUGGUGAUGACACGGAUCUACGCUUUGAGUUAACGAAGUCGUAAAAUCGUUUUGGAUCACGCUGAAAUCUUAUUCUGCACCUACUCAAAUAAUUCUUAUAACACAUUGUUAUGAGUGCGAAAAGCAGCUUGAGCAAGAGAAUAGCGGAGAAAAUCUAAAGAAGAGCCAGUUCCCUUGAAUUUUUUGUAAAAUCUCGACUUACGAUUUUUUAAAUUCGAUAAUUUCUUUGUAAACCAUAAGGGUUUAUCAGCCAAAUGUGGAAUACUUGAUGGAACACAAGCAUCAAAUAGCGAGUUUAAAGUAGAAUAGAAAAAUUCAACCGCUAUAUCGAAGUUUGUAGACAAAGAAAGUUGGGACCAGUCAGUUUGAGAUAUAAGCAGAGCAAGUUUCUCAAAAUCGGUUUUCCGAAAACAACGAGAAAGCUCACCACAACGUACACUCGACUCUGACGCAAUAAAUGGGAGCUCCAACAUUAUUUCUAAAGUGGGAUGGUAAGGGUCUUCAGGGGAAGAUAUAGGAGAUAUUCUCGAUAGAGAACAUGAA